UACGUAGGGACCGAGCGUUGUCCGGAUUCAUUGGGCGUAAAGGGCUCGUAGGCGGCCAACUAAGUCGGACGUGAAAUCCCUCGGCUUAACCGGGGAACUGCGUCUGAUACUGGAUGGCUUGAGGUUGGGAGAGGGAUGCGGAAUUCCAGGUGUAGCGGUGAAAUGCGUAGAUAUCUGGAGGAACACCGGUGGCGAAGGCGGCAUCCUGGACCAAUUCUGACGCUGAGGAGCGAAAGCCAGGGGAGCAAACGGG
rnacentral:rRNA from 1 species